rnacentral:rRNA from 1 species
GAUGAACGCUGGCGGCGUGCCUAAUACAUGCAAGUCGAGCGAACGGACGAGAAGCUUGCUUCUCUGAUGUUAGCGGCGGACGGGUGAGUAACACGUGGAUAACCUACCUAUAAGACUGGGAUAACUUCGGGAAACCGUAGCUAAUACCGGAUAAUAUUUUGAACCGCAUGGUUCAAAAGUGAAAGACGGUCUUGCUGUCACUUAUAGAUGGAUCCGCGCUGCAUUAGCUAGUUGGUAAGGUAACGGCUUACCAAGGCAACGAUGCAUAGCCGACCUGAGAGGGGGAUCGGCCCCACGGGAACUGAGACCCGGGCCAGACUCCUAGGGGAGGCAGCAGUAGGGAAUCUUCCGCAAUGGGCGAAAGCCUGACGGAGCAACGCCGCGUGAGUGAUGAAGGUCUUCGGAUCGUAAAACUCUUUUAUUAGGGAAAAAAAUAUGUGUAAGUAACUGGGCAAAUCUUGACGGUACCUAAUCAGAAAGCCACGGCUAACUACGG